CCUACGGGUGGCAGCAGUGAGGAAUAUUGGUCAAUGGACGAGAGUCUGAACCAGCCAAGUAGCGUGAAGGAUGACUGCCCUAUGGGUUGUAAACUUCUUUUAUAUGGGAAUAAAAUGUUCCACGUGUGGGAUUUUGUAUGUACCAUAUGAAUAAGGAUCGGCUAACUCCGUGCCAGCAGCCGCGGUAAUACGGAGGAUCCGAGCGUUAUCCGGAUUUAUUGGGUUUAAAGGGAGCGUAGGUGGAUUGUUAAGUCAGUUGUGAAAGUUUGCGGCUCAACCGUAAAAUUGCAGUUGAAACUGGCAGUCUUGAGGACAGUAGAGGUGGGCGGAAUUCGUGGUGUAGCGGUGAAAUGCUUAGAUAUCACGAAGGACUCCGAUUGCGAAGGCAGUUCACUGGACUGCAACUGACACUGAGGCUCGAAAGUGUGGGUAUCAAACAGGAUUAGAUACCCUGGUAGUC
rnacentral:rRNA from 1 species